rnacentral:piRNA from 1 species
UCCCCUUCUAUCUCUUCUUUGGAUACCA